CGUAACAAGGUUUCCGUAGGUGAACCUGCGGAAGGAUCAUUUUUGUACUUGCACAGGCCGAACGACCCGUGAACGAGUGAAAACCCCCCCGGGGGGGCGAGGGAGCANUCGGCCCGAUCGGCUUUCCGCUUCCGCCCCCCCGGCCAUCGGGAUGCGUCGUCGACCUCGUGGACUCUCCCUCCCGGGUGUGGCCGUGGGAUCGAUCGCGCACCUCUCGAUCAAAAAACGAACCCCGGCGCGAGAAGCGCCAAGGAACUCUAACGGAACGGGCGCUCGUCGCAGCCUCGGCAUCGGGGCGCGUGGGACGGGCGUCGUCGUUUUGAAACUCAAUGAAACGACUCUCGGCAACGGAUAUCUAGGCUCUCGCAUCGAUGAAGAACGUAGCAAAAUGCGAUACUUGGUGUGAAUUGCAGAAUCCCGUGAAUCAUCGAGUCUUUGAACGCAAGUUGCGCCUGAAAGCCACUAGGCCGAGGGCACGUCUGCCUGGGCGUCACGCACUCGUCGCCCCCAAGCCCCCCCUAUGCGGGGCGUUGGGGGCGGAUGUUGGCCUCCCGUGGGUGACAACGCCCGUGGUUGGCCCAAAUUCGGUCCCGCGGCGGCAUGCGCCACGACAAGCGGUGGUUGUCCAAACACUCGGACCGCUCCCACCCCGGAGCCGCUUGGUGUCGCGCGCGCAGCCUCGUCGUCGGAGCCCCGGAAAAGAUGACACGGACCCUCGAUCGCGACCCCAGGUCAGGCGGGAACACCCGCUGAGUUUAAGCAUAUCAAUAA
rnacentral:rRNA from 1 species